AGAGUUUGAUCCUGGCUCAGGACGAACGCUGGCGGCGUGCCUAAUACAUGCAAGUCGAACGCUUCUUUUUCCACCGGAGCUUGCUCCACCGGAAAAAGAGGAGUGGCGAACGGGUGAGUAACACGUGGGUAACCUGCCCAUCAGAAGGGGAUAACACUUGGAAACAGGUGCUAAUACCGUAUAACAAUCGAAACCGCAUGGUUUUGAUUUGAAAGGCGCUUUCGGGUGUCGCUGAUGGAUGGACCCGCGGUGCAUUAGCUAGUUGGUGAGGUAACGGCUCACCAAGGCGACGAUGCAUAGCCGACCUGAGAGGGUGAUCGGCCACAUUGGGACUGAGACACGGCCCAAACUCCUACGGGAGGCAGCAGUAGGGAAUCUUCGGCAAUGGACGAAAGUCUGACCGAGCAACGCCGCGUGAGUGAAGAAGGUUUUCGGAUCGUAAAACUCUGUUGUUAGAGAAGAACAAGGAUGAGAGUAACUGUUCAUCCCUUGACGGUAUCUAACCAGAAAGCCACGGCUAACUACGUGCCAGCAGCCGCGGUAAUACGUAGGUGACAAGCGUUGUCCGGAUUUAUUGGGCGUAAAGCGAGCGCAGGCGGUUUCUUAAGUCUGAUGUGAAAGCCCCCGGCUCAACCGGGGAGGGUCAUUGGAAACUGGGAGACUUGAGUGCAGAAGAGGAGAGUGGAAUUCCAUGUGUAGCGGUGAAAUGCGUAGAUAUAUGGAGGAACACCAGUGGCGAAGGCGGCUCUCUGGUCUGUAACUGACGCUGAGGCUCGAAAGCGUGGGGAGCAAACAGGAUUAGAUACCCUGGUAGUCCACGCCGUAAACGAUGAGUGCUAAGUGUUGGAGGGUUUCCGCCCUUCAGUGCUGCAGCUAACGCAUUAAGCACUCCGCCUGGGGAGUACGACCGCAAGGUUGAAACUCAAAGGAAUUGACGGGGGCCCGCACAAGCGGUGGAGCAUGUGGUUUAAUUCGAAGCAACGCGAAGAACCUUACCAGGUCUUGACAUCCUUUGACCACUCUAGAGAUAGAGCUUCCCCUUCGGGGGCAAAGUGACAGGUGGUGCAUGGUUGUCGUCAGCUCGUGUCGUGAGAUGUUGGGUUAAGUCCCGCAACGAGCGCAACCCUUAUUGUUAGUUGCCAUCAUUUAGUUGGGCACUCUAGCAAGACUGCCGGUGACAAACCGGAGGAAGGUGGGGAUGACGUCAAAUCAUCAUGCCCCUUAUGACCUGGGCUACACACGUGCUACAAUGGGAAGUACAACGAGUCGCAAAGUCGCGAGGCUAAGCUAAUCUCUUAAAGCUUCUCUCAGUUCGGAUUGUAGGCUGCAACUCGCCUACAUGAAGCCGGAAUCGCUAGUAAUCGCGGAUCAGCACGCCGCGGUGAAUACGUUCCCGGGCCUUGUACACACCGCCCGUCACACCACGAGAGUUUGUAACACCCGAAGUCGGUGAGGUAACCUUUUGGAGCCAGCCGCCUAAGGUGGGAUAGAUGAUUGGGGUGAAGUCGUAACAAGGUAGCCGUAUCGGAAGGUGCGGCUGGAUCACCU
rnacentral:rRNA from 1 species